rnacentral:misc_RNA from 1 species
AACCUAGCACACCUGCGGUGUGUACCUGCGGAGGGAUCAUUAAUGAGUGUAAUCUACCCCUUAAAAAAGGGUGGUACCUCCCCGUCCUUUGCAGGCCCUCCCCCCUUUUUUUUGGGGGGGGGCUUUUUAAGACUUUCUGCUUCGGCGGGGUUAUUCCCGCCGGAACACCCUCAAAAAUCUCUCAAAAAAAUCGUUCAGUCCGAGAAAAUUGAAAAUAUAAAAAAAACUUUUAGCAACGGA